rnacentral:rRNA from 1 species
GACGAACGCUGGCGGCGUGCCUAAUACAUGCAAGUCGAGCGAACAGACGAGGAGUUUGCUCCUUUCUCGUUAGCGGCGCACGUGUGAGUAACAUGUGGAAAAUCUCCUUAUAAGACUGGGAUAAUCUCGGGACACCGGCGCUAACACCGUAUAAUAUACUGAACCGUAUGGUUCAAUAGAGAAAGUCGGCUUUGGUGUCUCUUCUCGCUGGUUCCGCGCGGUAUUAGCUAGUUGGUAAGGUAACGGCUUUUCAAGGCGACGAUGCGUAGCCGAGCUGAGGGGGUGAUCGGCCACACUGGAGCUGAGACGCGGUACAGAGUCCUACGGGAGGCAGCAGUAGGGAAUCUUCCGCAAUGGGCGGAAGCCUGACGGAGCGGCGCCGCGUGGGUGAUGAAGGUCUUCGGAUCGUAAAACUCUGUUAUUGGUGAAGAACAAAUGUGUAAGUGACUAUGCGCGUCUUGACGGUACCUGAUCAGAAAGCCACGGCUAACUACGUG